UAUUGACAUAAUGCAAUGCAAGAUUCCCUUGAGGAGGUGAGACUUGCUAUCAUCAGUGAAAUUUGACCAGUCAUUCACUAUGAGAUGCAAAAAACCUUUUCUCUUUGUCAAAAAGAAGUUGUUGAGAUUCAGCCACUAGUGGAAGAAAUUAGAGAAAGGUGGCCUGGACUUUUUUUAAAGGAAGAGAUUUGCAUGGAGUUUUCUCGGAUCUGUAAAGUAGAUCUCCUGAGACAGUUCAUGGAGUCACUUGAUAAAUAUACAGCACCUCUCCUGAAACUCUACAGAAAAAGAAAAGAUUCAUUGGGUCCAGAGAUGAAGACACUUUUGGACAAGAUGAAUGAGCAGGUCACUGAUAUUGUCACCCUUUGAGAAAGAGCAGCUCUUGAGGGAUUGACAAUUUUUCUGCGUGAAAAUUCUGCUUGCUUUCUCAAGAUGUGUCUGGACACGGACCCUGAAGACCACAGCACCAGAGAUGUAAGGACAAGAAUCCUCACUGUGGUGUAAGAUGAUGUUGGCACUUCUGCAUCCCUGCUCUAUGUGAUGAACCUUGCUUGCUAUAAUCCUGGAGGAGGCCAUAGUGCUUCAGGAUAUUACAGAUCUGCCUGCAGCUUUCGCUUACUUGUUCGGUCUCUUGUAUGCACUGACUAUGGAAUACCCAAAAGAACUCAAAUAUACUUUUGAAGUGAUUCAGCAUGUUUUCAUGGAAGUUGGUGGCACAUGCUCUGCGAGAGUUCAGUCUCUGAAGUCUAAUUUUUAAA